rnacentral:rRNA from 1 species
UGCGUAACGCGUAUGUAACCUACCUAUAACAGGGGCAUAACACUGAGAAAUUGGUACUAAUUCCCCAUAAUAUUCGGAGAGGCAUCUCUCCGGGUUGAAAACUCCGGUGGUUAUAGAUGGACAUGCGUUGUAUUAGCUAGUUGGUGAGGUAACGGCUCACCAAGGCAACGAUACAUAGGGGGACUGAGAGGUUAACCCCCCACACUGGUACUGAGACACGGACCAGACUCCUACGGGAGGCAGCAGUGAGGAAUAUUGGUCAAUGGACGCAAGUCUGAACCAGCCAUGCCGCGUGCAGGAAGACGGCUCUAUGAGUUGUAAACUGCUUUUGUACGAGGGUAAACUCACCUACGUGUAGGUGACUGAAAGUAUCGUACGAAUAAGGAUCGGCUAACUCCGUGCCAGCAGCCGCGGUAAUACGGAGGAUUCAAGCGUUAUCCGGAUUUAUUGGGUUUAAAGGGUGCGUAGGCGGUUUGAUAAGUUAGAGGUGAAAUCCCGGGGCUUAACUCCGGAACUGCCUCUAAUACUGUUAGACUAGAGAGUAGUUGCGGUAGGCGGAAUGUAUGGUGUAGCGGUGAAAUGCUUAGAGAUCAUACAGAACACCGAUUGCGAAGGCAGCUUACCAAACUAUAUCUGACGUUGAGGCACGAAAGCGUGGGGAGC